rnacentral:rRNA from 1 species
CACACCGCCCGUCACACCAUGGAAGUCUGCUGCACCAGAAGUAGGUAGUCUAACCGCAAGGGGGGCGCCUACCACGGUGUGGCCAAUGACUGGGGUG